GAGUUUGAUCCUGGCUCAGGAUGAACGCUGGCGGUAUGCCUUACACAUGCAAGUCGUACGAGAGUUUCUAACUCAAGUGGCGGACGGGUGAGUAACACGUAAGAAUUUGCCUUUAGGAGGGGGACAACAGCUGGAAACGGCUGCUAAUACCCCAUAUGCUUUCGAGUGAAACGGAUUUAUCCGCCUAGAGAGAAGCUUGCGCCUGAUUAGCUUGUUGGUGGGGUAAAAGCCUACCAAGGCGACGAUCAGUAUCUGGUUUGAGAGGAUGAUCAGACACACUGGAACUGAGACACGGUCCAGACUCCUACGGGAGGCAGCAGUGGGGAAUUUUCCGCAAUGGGCGAAAGCCUGACGGAGCAAUACCGCGUGAGGGAUGACGGCCUAUGGGUUGUAAACCUCUUUUUUCAGGGAGGAAUCAAUGACGUUACCUGAAGAAUAAGCAUCGGCUAACUCCGUGCCAGCAGCCGCGGUAAGACGGAGGAUGCAAGUGUUAUCCGGAAUUAUUGGGCGUAAGGCGUGCGCAGGUGGUUGGAUUAGUCAAAUGUGAAAGCCCACGGCUUAACCGUGGAGGGUCAUUUGAAACUGUCCGACUAGAGUACGGUAGAGGUUAGUGGAAUUCAAUGUGUAGCGGUAAAAUGCGUAGAUAUAUUGAGGAACACCAGUGGCGAAGGCGGCUAACUGGACCGGAACUGACACUGAGGCACGAAAGCGUGGGUAGCAAACAGGAUUAGAUACCCUGGUAGUCCACGCCGUAAACGAUGAGAACUAAGUGUUGGGGUUAAACCCAGUGCUGAAGUUAACGCAUUAAGUUCUCCGCCUGGGGACUACGGCCGCAAGGCUAAAACUCAAAAGAAUUGACGGGUCUCCGCACAAGCGGUGGAGCAUGUUGUUUAAUUCGAAGAUACGCGAAGAACCUCACCAGGUCUUGACAUAUUCCUGACGUCUGUAGAAAUACAGAUUCCCUUCGGGGCAGGUAUACAGGUGGUGCAUGGUUGUCGUCAGCUCGUGUCGUGAGAUGUUGGGUUAAGUCCCGUAAGGAGCGCAACCCCUAUUGAUAGUUGCUAACAUUAAGUUGAGGACUCUAUCGAGACUGCCAGUGAUAAACUGGAGGAAGGUGGGGAUGACGUCAAAUCAUCAUGCCCCUUAUGAUCUGGGCUACAAACGUGCUACAAUGGCCGGUACAAAGAGUUGCCAAGUCGUGAGACGGAGCUAACCUUUUAAAGCCGGUCUCAGUUCGGAUUGAAGUCUGCAACUCGACUUCAUGAAGCUGGAAUCGCUAGUAAUCGUGGGUCAGAACACCACGGUGAAUACGUUCUCGGAGAUUGUACACACCGCCCGUCAUACCACGAGAGUUCGUAACACCCGAAGUACGUGGCCUAACUGCCUUAUGGCAGGGGGAGCGUCCUAAGGUGGGACGGAUGAUUGGGGUAAAGUCGUAACAAGGUAUCCCUACGGGAACGUGGGGCUGGAUCACCUCCUUUCU
rnacentral:rRNA from 1 species